GGCUAUAGGGUCAGGCUAUGGGGUCAGGCUAUAGGGUCAGGCUAUAGGGUCAGGCUGUAGGGCUAUGGGGUGGGCUGUAGGGUCAGGCUAUAGGGUCAGGCUGUAGGGUCAGGCUGUAGGGUCAGGCUAUAGGGUCAGGCUGUAGGGCUAUGGGGUGGGCUAUAGGGUCAGGCUAUAGGGUCAGGCUAUAGGGCUAUGGGGUGGGCUAUGGGGUGGGCUGUAGGGUCAGGCUAUA